rnacentral:tRNA from 1 species
UCUACCAAAGGAUAAUAG